GAUCAAGCGUCUGAAGGGCAUCUGGUGGAUGCCUUGGCACUGAGAGGCGAUGAAGGACGUAGCACGUUGCGAUAAGCUGUGGGGAGCCGCGAGCAGGCAUUGAUCCGCAGAUUUCCGAAUGGGGAAACCCACCCCUUUGGGGUAUCCCACACUGAAUCCAUAGGUGUGGGAAGCGAACCCGGCGAACUGAAACAUCUAAGUAGCCGGAGGAAAGGACAUCAACCGAGACUCCGCUAGUAGUGGCGAGCGAACGCGGACCAGGCCAGUGAUUGCUUCUAUAUAACCGGAACCGUCUGGAAAGUCGGGCCACAGUGGGUGAUAGCCCCGUACGGGUGAACCGGAAGCAAUCCACGAGUAGGGCGGGACACGUGAAAUCCUGUCUGAACAUGGGGGGACCACCCUCCAAGCCUAAGUACUCCUCAGUGACCGAUAGUGCACCAGUACCGUGAGGGAAAGGUGAAAAGCACCCCGACAAGGGGAGUGAAACAGUUCCUGAAACCGGAUGCCUACAAGCAGUCGGAGCCGCCUUGCGCGGUGACGGCGUACCUUUUGUAUAAUGGGUCAGCGACUUAGAGUAUGCAGCAAGCUUAAGCCGAUAGGUGGAGGCGCAGCGAAAGCGAGUCUGAAUAGGGCGACCGAGUUGCAUGCUUUAGACCCGAAACCUGAUGAUCUAGCCAUGGGCAGGUUGAAGGUGCGGUAACACGCACUGGAGGACCGAACUCACGCCUGUUGAAAAAGUCGGAGAUGACCUGUGGCUAGGGGUGAAAGGCCAAUCAAAUCAGGAAAUAGCUGGUUCUCCGCGAAAGCUAUUUAGGUAGCGCGUCGGAUAUUGCCUGCGGGGGUAGAGCACUGGAUGGGCUAGGGGGGCGCGAGCCUUACCAAACCUAACCAAACUCCGAAUACCGCAGAGCACAGUCCGGCAGACAGACGGUGGGUGCUAAGGUCCAUCGUCGAGAGGGAAACAGCCCAGACCGCCAGCUAAGGUCCCCAAAUCACGGCUAAGUGGGAAAGGAUGUGGGAAGGCCAUGACAACCAGGAGGUUGGCUUAGAAGCAGCCAUCCUUUAAAGAAAGCGUAAUAGCUCACUGGUCUAGUUAAGCCGGCCUGCGCCGAAAAUGUAUCGGGGCUCAAGCCGUGUACCGAAGCUGCGGAUGUGAUCUUUGAUCACGUGGUAGCGGAGCGUUCCGUAAGCCUGCGAAGGGUGUCCGUGAGGCCGCCUGGAGGUAUCGGAAGUGAGAAUGCUGACAUGAGUAGCGACAAAGAGUGUGAGAAACACUCUCGCCGAAAGUCCAAGGGUUCCUGCGCAAGGUUAAUCCACGCAGGGUGAGCCGGCCCCUAAGGCGAGGCCGAAAGGCGUAGUCGAUGGGAA
rnacentral:rRNA from 1 species